UACAGAGGGUGCGAGCGUUGUCCGGAAUCACUGGGCGUAAAGGGCGCGUAGGUGGUGGCUUAAGCGUGCGGUGAAAGCUCGGGGCUCAACUCCGAGUCGGCCGUGCGAACUGGGCUCACUGGAGCAUAGUAGAGGCAGGUGGAAUUCCUGGUGUAGCGGUGAAAUGCGCAGAUAUCAGGAGGAACACCAAUGGCGAAGGCAGCACUCUGGGACGUGACUGACGCUGAGACGCGAAAGCGUGGGGAGCAAACAGG
rnacentral:rRNA from 1 species